UACGAACCGUGCAAACGUUAUUCGGAAUCACUGGGCAUAAAGGGCGCGUAGGCGGCUUUCUAAGUCAGGUGUGAAAUCCGGCAGCUCAACUGUCGCAGUGCCUUUGAUACUGGAGCGCUCGAGGGAGGUAGGGGUCUGUGGAACUUCCGGUGGAGCGGUGAAAUGCGUUGAUAUCGGAAGGAACGCCGGUGGCGAAAGCGACGGACUGGAUCUCUUCUGACGCUGAGGCGCGAAAGCUAGGGGAGCAAACAGG
rnacentral:rRNA from 1 species